AUUUCACAAGAUUAACCUGAUAACGUUGGUAUUAAUUAUUGUAGGGAAUAUUUCUGCUGACUGAGGAACUGCUGUACUGCAGGCACUUGGGAGAUGCAGCUGAUUCAAUGUAUGGCUGCCAACUGGUGCUCUUUGGUGGAGCAUGCUUCAGCUUCAUUUCCAGACCAAAGUGGGCUGUUACAGAUGGCCGUAUGUGACAAAACUGCUUCCAGCUUUAGCAUCUGUAAUGGGCAAUGGGUUGUCUACUUGAAGCUGAAAAUGCUGAUAGAAGUGCAAUUGUGGCAGUACCUAAAAAAGCCUGUGGGUAGAAACAAAAUUGUCAAUGGCUAGUUUUGUGUGCUCAUGCAAAAACUUGAAACAGAAGUGGUGAAGUGGGACUGUUUCAGAAAGAUGUUAAAACUCAGCACAUUAGCUUUGAUUAUGACAUUAAUGCUAAAGCCAAACCAUGGUAACUUCUAAUCCACUGUAUCUAGAAGAGCUCUUGGAAGGACAGGAUUAUUACUUUCUGCUGUUUGAAGUGUGAUCUGUGUGCAAUCGUGGAAGUUGUGCUGGCAAAUAUAAUGUUUAACUGGGGAAUUAGUCAGGAAUUUAGGAUCUCUUCUGGCACAGUUCAGUUUAAGUAAGGCUAAGGACAGGUGUGAUUUAUAUAUGCUUGGGAAACAAGUGCUCAUAAGGAUUCACCUUGUAAGGAUGGAGGAAAUCAAGUAGACAAAUGGAUACACUUCCUUGAAUGGCCAUACUCAAAAGGCUUCCCUGACCCUCUCAUUAGCAGCUAAUCUUCUCUUCUUUAGGGUCUGGAAAGUGUUUAGAAGAGACAUUGCUCUUUAUCCCCUUUCUAAGCAUCCCUUACCUUCUCUGCCUUUACUGCUUCUGAACUUGCCUUCUGCAGGGGUUCGUUCUGCUAUGUCUAUUGGCCUGCCAUGACUGCAUCUUUACUUUCUGUUAGUCAUUUUCUUCUACUGCCUUGCCAGCAAUCGUUCUCUAGGGACACAAGCACUUAUACUCCCCUCACAAGGAGCUGAAAUGUUGAAUUCCAUCACAACACCCAGAUUAUCAGGAUAUAAAUAUGUCCUUGGUAUAAAGGGAGAAGAAAACCACAGAGGAGCAAAGUUGCACUUCAGAAAACUCACUCACACCUUUGCUAUUUCAGUAUGUAGUUAGAAAAAAUGACAAAAGAAGAUUUACAGUAACUGAAACAUGAGUGGGAACCCAUGAGGGAAAUGGAUGAUCUGAGAUCUCAGAGACAGCUUUACUUUGAGUCAAAUAAGUCUCUCCUACUCCUGAGCCUGUGAAAGCUGCUUGAGGAGACACCGUUCAAACCAUUCACCCAUGAUAGAAAAAGGGAAGACAGGUGCCUAAUGAGUGCUAAUAUAUAGUGCUUUAUUUCCAUGGUAACAUUUAUACCAUCAGGCAAAGUCUUUUCAAUGAAGCAAAAUGGCCCUUCUGAAACAGAAGAGUGCAUCAAAGAUUAACUUCACCUAACUGUAAGCAUUUAUCCAAGCCACAUCCUUUGGGAAUUUUCUUGCCCAAAAUUCCCUCAAAAUUUAAAAUGAGACACAGAGACCACUAGAGAUGAUUCAGGUCAACUAAGGUGUGGUUCACACCAUGAAAACUGUACUGGGGCAAUGGGCAGAGGAAGUGAUCUCCAACUACAACAUAUCAGCUGGGACCCAUUCCAGGUGUGUGGGUUCUAUCUCCACCUGACAUUUAUUACUCAUGCUCUGUGGAGUGAAGUUGUAUCUUCACAGCAACAAGUUAGGUGUCAGUCUGGAUGUGCUGCUUUUGUUUCUGAAAGAAAAUGAAGAUCGUAAUAAUUGCUUUGCAUUUCUCUACAGGCAUGGUCAGAGUAGGUGCCUGGUGAAGCUUAAGGACACUUGUUGGAAGAGUUCUCUUACAGAGCCUGUGUUGACUCGGUACUUAAUUGGGACAGGCUAUCUCAUGACUGACAGAAAGCUGCUAAUUCUCAUUUUACUCCCAGAAAUGCAACAUGCUGAAAUAAGGUCAGACAAGCUCCAUGUUGGCUGAGUCUUGGGCAUUUCAGUGUCAGAAUUCUGGCUCAUGUUAAGGUAAUGAUGCUAUUUGAAUAUGAGGUCCAAUAUGAGGUUGUAACUUCACAUUACUUUGU